rnacentral:rRNA from 1 species
AUUGAACGCUGGCGGCAUGCUUUACACAUGCAAGUCGAACGGUAACAGGCCGCCAGGUGCUGACGAGUGGCGAACGGGUGCGUAAUGCAUCGGAACGUGCCCAGUCGUGGGGAAAAUCACCCCGAAACGGAACCUAUACCCCAUUAGGACCUAGUAUUUAAAGCGGGGGCCGUCAGGGCCCGCGGCCAUUGCACCGGCGAUGUCAGAUUAGGUAGUUGGUGGGGUAAAGGCUCACCAAGCCAACGAUCUGUAGCUGGUCCGAGAGGACGACCAGCCACACUGGGACUGAGACACGGCCCAGACUCCUACGGGAGGCAGCAGUGGGGAAUUUUGGACAAUGGGCGCAAGCCUGAUCCAGCAAUGCCGCGUGCAGGAAGAAGGCCUUCGGGUUGUAAACUGCUUUUGUACGGAACGAAACGGCUCUGGUUAAUACCCGGGGCUAAUGACGGUACCGUAAGAAUAAGCACCGGCUAACUACGUG